rnacentral:rRNA from 1 species
UACGGAGGGGGCUAGCGUUGUUCGGAAUUACUGGGCGUAAAGCGCGCGUAGGCGGCUUUGUAAGUUAGAGGUGAAAGCCCGGAGCUCAACUCCGGAACUGCCUUUAAGACUGCAUCGCUAGAAUUGUGGAGAGGUAAGUGGAAUUCCGAGUGUAGAGGUGAAAUUCGUAGAUAUUCGCAAGAACACCAGUGGCGAAGGCGGCUCACUGGCCCGAUACUGACGCUGAGGCACGAAAGCGUGGGGAGCAAACAGG